GGAAGUUGACAGGACUCUGAGAAGUCGGGUUAGGCCGGAGAACGAGGACGGGUGGUUUGAAGAGCGGUCUGCAGGUGACCCAGCCAGGGACGGGCAGGUAGGGGCCACCUGGGCGGGGGCAGGGGGAGGAGCAUUGAGAGCAAGGUCGGUUUUUUAAAACUUUUCUCUUCUUUCACUUAUUUUUUUUCAGCUGGAGAUUUUCUAGUGGUGUGUGUGAGUUAUAUGUAUUUCUUGUAAUGAUUAAGGAAGUUGCAAAAGCAGAGUCUCCUACAAUCUGUACUGACGAUGAUACAUUCUGUUCUAGUUCAUGAGUAAUUCCUUCUCUUCCAACUCUGAUCACCCCGUUUAUAAACAGAAGCAUCAAAUUGGCUCACUUAUACAUCUGUGUCCUUUCAAUUCUUUUCCUAAUUUUUAAAGAUUUUUAUUUCUUUAGGCUAAAUGCAUGGAGGAGGAAUUAUUGGGGGGAUGUAUACAAAACUAGGAGAAAAAUUAAGCGGGGGCUUUACAAAGUUGGUGGAAAAUAGAAUUAAAACAUAUGUUUAUUUGGGUACAAAAAAUGUUGACAUCCAUGCAUAUGUGGAAACUUCAUGCAUGUUAGGAACAAAACUGCCUGGAUCGCAACAUUCUUUGCACCAAAAUAAACUUACCUUUUCAUUCUAUUUCCCCACAAGUUUCUCUUACUUUUUAUCUGUUUGAAGGAGAGGGACAGAGGAAGAGGGAGAGCUUUCGUCUGCUGGUUCCCUUCUUCCCUGAGUGUGUACAGCAGUGAGGGCUGCGCCAGGCCAGAGCUGGGACAGGGAACUUGGCCCGGGUCUCCCCCAUGGGCGGCAGCAACCCACGUCCUUGAGCCGCCAGCAGCACCUCUCAGGGUCUGCAUCCCAGGGCACAGGAGCCAGGAGCCGGAGUUGGGUAUUGAACCGCUGGCGCUCGGGUGUGGCUUGUGGGUGUCUUAACGGCUGGCGGACUUGCCGCUCAUCAUCCUCAUCACUGCCAAGCACAGCCAACUGCGCUGUCCCGAGCUUGCCGUGCUGCCUCCUCACCUUAAACACGGUCAGGGGCUCCCCUUUACCUUCUAAGUAGAGUUCAAGGUUCUGAGCAAGGCCUGUGAGUGACGGACGAUUCCCUCCUCUCUGCCCCUUUGGCUCCACUCCUGUCUGUGCUUUCUCAGGGGGUCCGGGCUUGGCCCCUGUGGCCCCUUGGCCUGGGCCGCUUCCUUUCUCCUUUACCCUGGUGACUUGUCCUCAUCGCUCCAGGUCCGGCCAGCGCAUCAGGAGCCUGUGCCUUUCCUCCUCCGCCUGCUGCUUGCUCGGCUCCUCCAGGAGCGGAUCAGAUCCUCUUCUAACCGCCUGGUUGCUCAUGUGUUUUUCCAUUUCCCUGGCUCGAGGAUUUUGAGGGCAGAGCCGGAGUCGGUUAGUCCUCUCUGGAGCUCCGUGCACUGACGCGGCACUGACCUAGAGUCACAGCCAGGCAGCGUUUGUGGAGUGAGCCGGGGUGGCUUCUCCCAGGGCUCUCUGCACCUGCUGGGCUUUCAGGACCUGUCCUGUCCAUCCCACAGGGCCGAUACAAGGAGACUUGUGCAAAUUGGACUUUAUGAGGAUGUGCUGUAGAAGCUCAUAAAGCGGAGUUAGUUUUGUCUUAAACAUUUUUAAAACUUUACUUUCAUUUUAUUUGAAAGGUAGGGAGAUACAGAGAGACCGUCAUCUGGUGGUUCACUCUCCCAGUGCCUGCAAACAGCUGAGGCCAUGCCGGGUCAAAGCCAGGAGCUGGGCACUCUAUCCUGGCCUUCCACGUGGGUAGCAGGGACCCCAGUACGUGCGCCACUGCCUGCUGUCUCCCAAGGUGUGCGUUUGCAGGAAGCUGGAGUUAGAGCCAGGUACUGAGAUGUGGCUUAACUGCUGUACCUGGGGCCUAGAUUUUUAAAGUUUGCUACUAAUUAGGAAUGAUAAAGCCAGUGACACUAAAACUUUUUUUUUUUUACUUUUAUUUAAAGAAUAUAAAUUUCCAAAGUACAGCUUAUGGAUUACAAUGGCUCCCCCCAUAACUUCCUAAAACUUUUAUUUAUUUAUUUUUUUGAAGAUUUAAUUAUUUAUUUGAAAGGCAGAGUUACAGAGAGAGCGCGAGCGAGCAGAAGUGCUUUUAUCUGCUGGUUCACCUCCCAUAUGGCUACAGCAGCCAGGGCUGGACCAGGCCAAAGCCAGGAGCCUGAGACUGCAUCUGGGUCUUCCACAAGAGUGGCAGGUGCCCAAGGACGUGAGCCACCUUUUGCUGCCUUCCCAGGCACACUAGCGGGAAGCUAGAUCAGAAGUGGAGCAGCCGGGACUUGAACAAGUGCCUACUUGGGAUGCCGGCCCUGGAACACCUGCCCAGGUGUUACCCUGGAGAUUCUCCUUCCUCACAUGGGGCUGGGGCCCGCACAUUUGUAUUUUGAAAAAGCACAGGUGGUUCUGAGGGAUUCCCCUUCCUAAGAACCAUUGCUUUUUUUUUUUUUUUUAGAGUUUUAUUUAUUUAUUUGAAAGGUAGAGUUACAGGGAGGCAUAAGCGAGUGGGCGGAGGACUGGGGGGCUUCCAUCUGCUGGUUCACUCCCUAAAUGGCUGCAACAGCCGGAGCUGUGCCAAUCCGAAGCCAGGAGCCAGGAGCUUCUUCCAGGUCUCUCUUGAGGGUGUAGGGGCCCAAGGACUUGGGCCAUCUUCCACUGAUUUCCCAGGCCAUAGCAGAGAGCUGGAUGGGAAGUAGAGCAGCUGGGACUAGACCGGUGUCCAUAUGGGAUGCUGGCGUUGCAGACCAGGGCUUCAACCUUCUGCCCCGAACCAUUGCUUUAUGCAGUGCUAGUGUACAGUUUAGUCACUGUCCUGUGCCUCCAGUAGAUUUGAGGGGAAGCGUUGCCGCAUCCUUUAUUCUUAGAACAGGACUCUGUCAUCAAUUCUUGGGCUGCACGGUAUACUCUAGAAAAUGUCUAAAAUACAGACAGACACAAAGAAGAAGAUAAAUGUUGCUGGUCAAACUCCCACCCAGAGAUGACAGAAAAUCCUUUCCCUUUUUUGCUUAAAAAUAUACCAAAAUGAUCCAAAGUCAUGGAUGGGCCCUAAUCUUCUGGAGUAUUUUCUGUGGCUCACUAAUGUCCACGUACAUGCUUCUCCCUGACGAGGGACCGACUGUUGGUGCUGGGGAGUCAAUCACAGAUUGGCCAGGGGCAGUGGCCCUCGUGAGUCCAUGGCCUAGUGCAGAGACACGUGUUACAGGUGUCGCACAAGGAGGUAGUGAGGAGAGCACCUUGUCUUCCGUUUAGUCACGCUGUUUUGGCAAACUUUUGCUCAUCUAAGGCCCCAGUCAAUUCAGUGUCAUUUCUGGUAGAUCUCUCUUAAUCCCUAGUAACCACUAAUUCCGUCUAGUUUUUUGUUAAGUGUCAUCCUAGCACUUUUCUUAAAUUAGCUCAAGUUCACAAGAUUGAUGCAAGACAGGUUUAUUGUAAAAAAGAAAAUAACCCUAAGGGUUUUUUUUUUUAAAGAUUUAUUUAUUUGCAAGUCAGAGUUGUACACAGAGAGGAGAGGCAGAGAGUGGAAGUCUUCCAUCCACUGGUUCACUCCCCAAUUGGCUGAUCCAAAGCCAGGAGCCAGGAGCCUCUUCCAGGUCUGCCAUGCGGGUGCAGGGACCCAAGCACUUGGGCCAUCUUCUGCUACUUUCCCAGGCCAUAGCAGAGAGCUGGAUUGGAAUUGGAGCAACUCAAACCAGCACCCAUGUAGGAUGUUGGCACUGCAGGCGGCGGCUUUACCCGCUACGCCACAGCGCUGGCUCCCAAACCCCGAGUUUUAUUGAGCUAUAACUCACACAGACAGGUUGGGCGUCCCUACUCUGAAAAUCCGCAGCCCGGAAUGCUCUGACACUGUGUGACACUGGCACCUGUGUGAGCACGAUGCUCAACAAAGCUCAGGUUUGGGAGCCUUUGGAUUUCAGAGUUUUGGGUUAGGAAUGCUCAUCCUGGAAACUUUAUGAAAACAUUCCAAAACCUGAAAAAUUCUCAAAUCGGAGACACUUUGGGUCUAAGUGUGUCAGAUGAGAGAUGCCCGCCCUCGACACGGUGCUCCCCAUGGAGCUGUGUGCCUCCGUGGCUUUUAGUGCAUUUGCGCAUCAGGCCACAGCACACCAUCCAUUCCAGAACUUUCUGCCAUUACUCCUCAUUUCUCCUCGCCUGGGCCUCGCCAACAACUAAUUUACUUUCUGUCUCUGUAGCUUUGCUUAUCCUGGUUCAUAAGAGGGGUUCUGCAAAAAGUUUGUAGAAAAUUGGACGUAAGAGGCAUGUUUGCUUUGGUACACACACUUUGGAAACCCAGGCGUAGUUUUUCACGGUACACACUGUGAACCUCUUGAGGACCCCUGUGCCAUUUCGCAUUCCUACCACAGCGUGGGGGAGUUCUGAUGUCUGCAUCAGCCCCAGCACUGUUGCCAAGCAUUCUGGUUAUCACCGAAGGUGGGUGUUAAGAUUCCCACUUUUUUGGCCGGUGCCACGGCUCACUAGGCUAAUCCUCCGCCUUGCAGCACUGGCACACCGGGUUCUAGUCCUGGUCGGGGUGCCAGAUUCUGUCCCGGUUGCCCCUCUUCCAGGCCAGCUCUCUGCUGUGGCCCGGGAGUGCAGUGGAGGAUGGCCCAAGUGCUUGGGCCCUGCACCCGCAUGGGAGACCAGGAGAAGCACCUGGCUCCUGCCAUCUGAUCAGCGUGGUGCGCCGGCCACAGCACACUGGCCGUGGCAGCCAUUGGAGGGUGAACCAACGGCAAAGGAAGACCUUUCUCUGUCUCUCUCUCUCACUGUCCACUCUGCCUGUCAAAAAAAAAAAAAAAAAAAAGACUCCCACUUUUUCCUGAUCAGGACACCAGGUUCCGAGUGGUCGCCAGGCCAUGGGCGACGCCCUGUGCUCGGGGACACAGGGUCUCAUCUGGCUGUGCUCCUGCAACACUGUGAUGCCCCCGUAGAGAAGCACACAGAAAUUAGCUUUGAAACAUACUGAACUGUUUCAGAAUUAGCUGGCAGUUGAAUAUUUGAUAUGAAAGAUUUUUAAAAAAAGAUUAUUUAUUUGAAAGGCAGAGUUACAGAGAGGCAGAGAGAGAGAAUCUUCCAUCCACUGGUUCACUCCCCAAAUGGUGGCAAUAGCUGGAGCUGUGCUGAGCUGAAACCAGGAGCCAGGAGCUUCUUCCAGGUCUCCCACAUGGGUGCAGAGACCCAAGCACUUGGGCCAUCUUCUACUGCUUUCCCAGGCCAUUGUAGAGAGCGGGAUCGGGAGUGGAGCAGCCGAGACUUAAACUGGCACCCACAAUGGAUGCCGGCACUGCAAGCUGCAGCUUUACCCACUGUGCCACAGCGCUGGUCCCGAUAAGAGGGAUUUUUGUAAAUGGCUGGUAUCCUUUCCAUAAAAUACAUAUGCUUAAUCACCCCAUUAUAUCAAGGUUUCCAUCCAGGCCAAGAUUAUGGGUGAUCAAGGGUGGUGAGAACCCACUGACAGUUCCUCGAAGUUUUGCAUUUCCUUAUUUUCAAAAUCAUCAUGCUUUUUCUAAGAAAUUUGUAUUUAUUGAUUUUAUUUAUUUCAAAGGCAGAGAGAGCUUUCCUGUCUGCUGCUUCAGUCCCCAAGCGCCCAGCAGCUGGGGCGGGGCCAGGCUAAACUUGGAGCUGAGGAGUCAGGCUAGGUCUCCUCCGUGGGUGACAGGGACUCAACCUGAGGUUUACUGCUUCCCAGCUGAAUCCUAAGCGGAGCAGCCAGGACUCAAACCAGGCGUGCAGAUGUGGGACGCAGGCAUCCCACGUUCUACUUUCUGCUGCCCCACAGUGCUAAGCCCACCCCCAUAACUACGAUCAGUUACUCUGUAGACUGUCCUUGAUGGGCUUUGACUGCGCAUGUCCUGGUGGGUAGAUCCAGAUGGUGCAUUUUUCCCGUUCUCUCUACAGGUGAUGUUGGGUCCGCAGGGGGUGUCAGGGCAAGGCCUGCUCACUCGGUUGAGGAAGCAUUCACCAGAUUUCUCCAUCAUGAAGGUGCUGGCCCCUUUGCCACUUUUUUUAAAAAAGGUUUAUUUAUUUAUUUGAAAGGCAGAGUUAUACAGAGAGAGAGAGAGGUCUUCUAUCCGCUGCUUCACUGCCCAGUUGACCACAACAGUGGAGCUGUGCCGAUCCAAAGCCAGGAGCCAGGAGCUUCUUUCAGGUCUCCCACGCAGGUGCAGGGGCUGAAGGAGUUGGACCACCUUCUACUGCUUUCCCAGACCAUAGCAGAGAGCUGGAUUGGAAGUGGAGCUGCUGGGUCUCAAACCAGCGGCCGUAUGGGAUGCCGGCGCUUCAGGCAGCAGCUUCACCUGCUACACCACAGGGCUGCCCCCUCUACCCCCACCCCCCUGCCACCACCAUUAAUAAACGAUAUGCUGGCUGAUGCUUAGAGCUUGCACGCAUAUCCUUUUCUUCCUCUUUAAAAAAUAUAUUAUGGAUAUGCUCGUUUAUUUGAAAGAGAGACAGACUGAGCUCCCGACUCUGGAUCACUCUCCCAGUGCCUGCAGAGGUGGGGACUGGGCCAGGCUGAAGCCGGAAACUCAAUCCAGGUUUCCCAGCUACUCGGGCCUUCAUCUGUUACCUCCCAGGAAGCCAGAAUUGGGAAUGGAGCUGGAGCUGGCUCUCAGGCAUUGCAAAACGGGCCGUGGGUGUCUUAACUGGUUGGCCACAUGCCCGCCCUGUGAACGUCCAUUUCAUCAGUGGCAUCUUGUCCGGUGGUUUUGCAGCCAAGAUGAUCCUUGUCUGAGUCAUUUGUUUCCGUGGUGGCUGCAAGCUGGUGGUUUUCCACUUGUGUCAUUGCUUUUACGUUUAUUAAUUGAGUUUAUGAUUCUGAUAGCUAAGCAAAGGGAAUUCAGAAACGAUAUGAACCCACAGAUGUUGCCUUAUUUAGGAAAAGGAUUUUGAGAGGUGGAGAUUAUUCUCGAUUAUCUUGCAGGCCCUAAAUCCACUGACGAGGACCCUUGGCAGAGGGAGUUCUGAGACAGGCACGAGGAGACACAGAGGUCAAGUCUCUGUCGCCGGAUUUGGGGACGAGUGGACUUCCCUACUCACCCUGACCGCGGUGCGUGGAGCACCAUUGAUUUUUCAUAAAUGUUUAAUAAGACGACACAGCUCAAAGCUCUGCAAAGUUUGCUAUAAAUUGUAAUGAGGAACUGAGCAAGAUGUAAUCGGAUAAGAAAAUGGAAAUAAAACUUGUACAGUGGAGUCGAUGGCAGAACAAAUGAGAGCAAGGAGCCCGUUCACCACCUCGGUGGCUUUCUCCUGAGCAGGCGGCUGACCCUCCGGAGUGAGGGGCACUCACCUCCAGCUGAUGUGAGCAAACCGGAGAUCCGGUUUCCAUGCACAGACGCAAAGUGAUUUCCCUCAAGCAGCAAUCUGAUCAUUUCCCCUGCCACGGGGGUUUGCAGCCAAACCAGAAUCUCCGAUGUUGAAGUUCCCCCCAGCUAACGGAAGGCCGACAGAACCCACGAAAGGUUAUCACUCGCUCAGUCGCAAAGAACACUCAAGGACGCGUGACCAGUGGUAAGCUCUCAGAUAAAGGAUUUCCAUACUUUUGAGGCAGCAUUUCCCCAAGACAGACACAGCCGUGCACAAAGUGCUGCUCCACCAGCACCCGCUGCCCGGCUUCAGCCACGUCCCCCUCAGUGACCUGUCCAGUGCUCAAGAGGAGCAGGGCUCCCGCCAGAAGAACAUUCCUCUCGAACCCAGUGCCGUGAUUUCUGGUCCGAGCUCAGUCCCUGUCUGUCUCGGGGGCGGCAGCCUCAAGUUUCUGCAGGUGCUGCGUGGACAGGACUUCUCCGAGCCCACCCACUCCCUACCGUCCUACAGCUGUGCGAUCGCGAGUCCAAGUCUUCAAAACGAGACCUGGGUCCGUGUUACCACCACCACCAAUACACCUGCGUUUCCCCUCAUUCAGCCAGCACUUGUUUUUGUUUUUGUUUUUAAACCUGUCUGGAUGUUAUUUCAAUUCUCCCGGAACGGCGCUGAGCCCACAGCCGGGGCGUGCCACAGUGUGCCACGGGAGAGUGGCAACUGAAGUCACAUCCACCCAGGAAGCUCCCUCUUCUACAGGGGACGGCAUAGCUUUUGCAUGCACAAAGGUAUAGCUUGCAGAGCUUCCCAAACUGGCUCACCUGUGCCAUGCC